GAAAGAGAGAUAGAGGGAGAGAGAGAAAAGAGAGGGAAAGGAGAAAGAGAGCCGACUGAAUCUCGCGUAGGCUGUCUGCCAGUAAACAGGCUCCUUCAUUCACUGCUUAUUUUAUACGGACGGCCCCUAUAUGCCCCACAGAAAUAGCCACUCUCGUUCCGUCCUCGUCGCACGCAUGCACGCACCAUGCACGCACGCACGUACGUACGUACGUUUGUACGCAUGGGCCGGAUACGCUCUCUCGCGCUUGCGUCUCUCUCUCUGUCUCUUUUCCAAUCCGACUCUCUCACCCCCCGUGUUUCUGGCUAACCUUUCUCUCGCGCUCCCGCAUUCGUGUCACGCGGCUCGCAUCUCGGAUAACCGCGUUGGUCUCCGUAAAAAAACGCCAAGCGGGAGUAUGUCGUGACGGCCGCACUCCUCGUCGCGCAUCCUUCCACCCUCUCGGCGACCUUUUCUCCUCAAUGUCCUUUCCCUCUCUCUUCGAGGCGUUGACUCUUUCGACCGACCGCGCCGAGGGAUGCUUCGCUCUCUUCCGUUACGAACAGUAGCGCGUCGUCGACGCCGUCGAUGACGACAGGUGCACCGAUACCCUUCGUCCGAUUUGUAGAUUGUUGACGGUAUCCGAAAUUCCUUUCACUCAUACGUCUCCAUUGUCGUCGCUCCGACGACGGUAAACAAUAUUUGCUCGCAGUAUUUAUUUCGCGCUCGUUUCUUUUACGAAAACUUUCCUCCGUCUUUGAACCGGAGCUAUUUUCCCAACGUAUCACCGUAACGCGUCUUUAAUGACGACACGCGCGAAUGACGGCAGUGACGAUUUUUUGGCGAAGAACAGGGGGAGGGAUAGAUACGAUAUCGUGCCUUCUCAACAGAUAGAUAGAUCGGGUUGGCGAACGAUGUAGGAGUUUGCGCCUCCGCUGGUUCUCCCGAAUGGCGAGCCUCCGGGUCGCACUAAUGUGUAUUACACAUACACACCCGCACGCACACACGUAAGAGGAACACACGCGCGUGUCUCUCUGAAAUACCGGGUGAUAUAUAUUUGUGCGAUAGUGUGCGCGUUCUCUCUCUUUCCUCGUCUCUCGCGUCGUUGAGACGAGAAUGGUGGGAUUAUGAGCGGGCAAAGAGUGGAAGGAAGUGAAAAGAGACAGAAAAGAAAGACCGUCAGGGGAGUUGGUCGAAGGGCGAGCAGUGAAGAGGAGCAAAGAGGACGUAGAGGGAACGAUCUCGCGCGCGCACGCGUCUUGUACGCGCGUUCGCUCACUCAGCCGAGCGUACGCGAGGGAGACGAUAGAGUUGAGUUUCGUGUGCGAGAGAGAAGCAAAAGUUCAGCUGGCCUCGGCAGCCAUGCCGGUGUACAGCUCGUGGCGAGUGCGAGUCAGGCGCGUAUUAUCUCGUCGACGGGGCCACUGGUCGGAUCGGAUCUUUCUUUCCUCUUGAUCUUUCGAAGAGUAACAGGACGUACAUACUUGAGGGGAGCGCCUUGGCUUAUCUAAUAAGGUAAUACGGGCGAGAACGUUGUAUCGUACACGUAUCACGUAUGUACACAUAUAUAGGGAGAUACUCAAGGUCCCUCACGGAGCAUUAGUUUAAGUUACACUACACUCUAUGGUCUUUGCGAAUUUAACACGGAGGCGCGCACCUGUCCAAAAGUGGCCGUGGGGUACAAAAGUUGAAAAAGAACUGCACCCCUAAAGAUUAUCGCUGUCGUUAAAAAGUUUUUUUGCAAUACUAUAUUUCGUAUCCGCUACUGUCCCACAUUCAUCAUUUCAUUUCAUUUUCUAUGUUUAUUUCAAGCAUACUCAAGCCGUAUGUAUCAUAUUGAAUAUUUAUGCAACAUGACUGUUGUGGUUGAAAAAAUACGAAAUAUAUAUUUAUCAUUAAUUUACUAUCAGCUGUCUGAUUUUUUUGACCUUACGUUCAAUCUUUCGCACAUAUCAAACGCUUUAGAUUGAAGUUGAACAGUCGAACAGUCGAUUCUGGUUGUGAGUCAUGAUGAAUACUCAGAAUCUAUUCGGGAUAUUCUUGGAAGUGAAGAGAGUGAGAAAAAAAGUAAGCAAAAGAGGGGAGCAACUAUCUGUAAUACUCCUCAAUAGUGUUUGUACGAUUGUUGAUAACAUUUCUCUCCGAUGAAAAUACGGAUUAUUAAUUAAUAUAUGUCGUCAGUGUUUAUCGCAUCUAAGAUCUAAUAUCGCAAAAAAAAUGCAUUUCGAUGAAUUCGCUUGCGUCGAAUCGAAUCGUCGCGGAAUAACGACGGCGUUGCAACCGGAGGCAAAAUAUGACGUACUUUGUUCCGAGAAGCGGCAAAAGGCACUUCCUCGCUGCCAUGAUAUUCAUCGGUCGAUUGGUGAUUCGACCGACAGUACGGGGAAUGUUCAUCACGAGACUCAUUCAAGUAUCUCACUCAUUUCUCCGAAACAUACAUACACAUAAAUGUCGAGAGGAUUAAUAUAAAAAACGCAGUGUUACAAGGCAGCUGACAAUCGAUCGAUUUAUACGUCAUCUUCUCGACGAAGAGCGGAUCUAUUAAUCUAUCCAUUCAGAUAAUAACAACAAGCAUUCGUAACUCGAUUUAAUCAGAAAUAGAUGGAAACUUGUCAAAAUACAUGUCGAUUUUACGGUCGAUUUUUCAGUUCAGUUUCCACAUUAGUAUUCUAAUAGAGAGAUAUCGUAUGUGAAUUAUCUCGCAAAAUACCAUUAUCUAUAUCUAUUAGCCAUACGGAAAUAAUCAAAAUAUGGAAUUUAUUUCCGCCUUAUUAUCGGAUAAUCAUACGAUUAAAAUAUCAUGCAGAGCACUAAAAAAGAGAGAUAUUUGCCCAAUUUGCUCAUGUCAUUUCGCAUUGGGGCUCGACACUCGACACGAGACAAGUAACUCGCGUUGGCUGAACAAUCCAAUCGACGCAGCCUCGGUUGUCUUUUCUCGGCCAUUUAUACUGUUAGUAAUACGAGCGACGACGUUUAUAUCUACACGCCACACGGGCGUGGCGGCGAUGCGAAUCGCGUGCACCGCUUCCCUCGAGAGGAUAUCCGGUGUGGAAACGUUUCCCCUCCCGUUCGGUCCCCUCUCUUUCUCUCCUCUUGGUUUCCCUCUCCGUCUUGCUCGAUAGAAUCGCGCGUAUAUCAUCCUCUGCUCCCCCACCCUCAACGUCAUUCUUCUUUCAUAGCACGCUAACAGCACGUCCUCAAUGAGUCGACCAACAGUCGCAUUCGCAUUGAAAGUUUUACUUUACGUGAAAUACAACGGAGCCCGUGAUGGGAUUUUUCGUGGACAGACCCUAAGUCUGUCGCAAUUCACGCCCAUUCAUCCGUAAAAAUCCCUUUUGCGAUCGAGCGAGACUUUGUUGGCUCUUUUCCAAGUUUUUGUAUUUCUUUUCUUUUCUCCAAUUCUCAGAGUCAGGUCAUGGUAAUGGAUUAAUGAAUAGCGACUUUUUAGAAUUUAAAUUUAAACAUCUUUGUAAUUGAUGAUGCGUAAUUUUUGUCUCUAACGUUUGAGAUUUCAAGUCGAAUUUUAAAUUCCAAAACUAAAUGCAUUCAUAGUAUAACUCGAAACGUGUUAAAAUUUAAAAUACGAACAUUUUGAAAUGUCUUUAAGAAAAAUGUUCUUUUCGAUGAUUUCAUUGAAAACUUUUAAAUUCUUUCCUCGUUUUCCUCUCUAUAUUUUCCUGCGCCAUUGCUUUCAGUAAUUGCAAGGUUAAUUGUCUCUAAUUAAGUAAGUCAUUCGGGCGAUAUAAAGAAAUUAGUGUACUCGGAAUAGCAGUGGCGAAAUGUUACCCUCGUUUUCACAAUUAUAUAUUUCCUACUCGCUUCCCUCUCUCUCUCACAUUUUCUUAUAUUUUGAGACCUACUUUUAUUAUGUUUUCAUUGAGAAUGUUAUAUCGCAACAUUAAAUAUUUAAUUAUUGUACAGCGUUGCAAUUUCAAAAAACGAUAAUAAGAUAUGUUUCUAUUAUUAGAAAUUAACGAUAAAUAUCUCUGGCCUCUUUUCAUCCUCGAAUAGAGUCGACUACGCGCUUCUAAAUUUUGCCGUUUAUUUCACGGACAUCGCAUAUUGUUUAUCUAUAAA